GACGAACGCUGGCGGCGUGCCUAAUACAUGCAAGUAGAACGCACAGUUUAUACCGUAGCUUGCUACACCAUAGACUGUGAGUUGCGAACGGGUGAGUAACGCGUAGGUAACCUGCCUGGUAGCGGGGGAUAACUAUUGGAAACGAUAGCUAAUACCGCAUAAUAUUGAUUAUUGCAUGAUAAUUGAUUGAAAGAUGCUAUUGCAUCACUACCAGAUGGACCUGCGUUGUAUUAGCUAGUAGGUGAGGUAACGGCUCACCUAGGCGACGAUACAUAGCCGACCUGAGAGGGUGAUCGGCCACACUGGGACUGAGACAAGGCCCAGACUCCUACGGGAGGCAGCAGUAGGGAAUCUUCGGCAAUGGACGAAAGUCUGACCGAGCAACGCCGCGUGAGUGAAGAAGGUUUUCGGAUCGUAAAGCUCUGUUGUAAGAGAAGAACGGGUGUGAGAGUGGAAAGUUCACACUGUGACGGUAUCUUACCAGAAAGGGACGGCUAACUACGUG
rnacentral:rRNA from 1 species